rnacentral:tRNA from 3 species
GGACAGAUGGCCGAGUGGUUAUGGCGUGUGACUCAAGCUUAAUAGCUUAGUUGAUUCAAUCAACUAGCAUUCUCAUGGGCUUAGCCCGCGGGGGUUCGAAUCCCCCUCUGUUCA